GCGCCGGUGUUGUAAUGGCGUAGAGCAUUCCCGCCCGGUCAGAGGGAGGUGCGGGUUCGAGUCCCGCCUGGCGCU
rfam:Heligmosomoides polygyrus genome assembly, scaffold: HPBE_scaffold0000715